UUGGAGGGCAAGUCUGGUGCCAGCAGCCGCGGUAAUUCCAGCUCCAAUAGCGUAUAUUAAAGUUGUUGCAGUUAAAAAGCUCGUAGUGAACUUCAGACCUGACCGGGCGGUCCGCCUAACGGUGUGUACUGUCUGGCCGGGCCUUACCUCUUGGUGAGCCGGCAUGCCCUUCACUGGGUGUGUCGGGGAACCAGGACCUUUACCUUGAGAAAAUUAGAGUGUUCAAAGCAGGCUUACGCCGGAAUACAUUAGCAUGGAAUAAUAAAAUAGGACGUGCGG
rnacentral:rRNA from 1 species